rnacentral:rRNA from 1 species
CAAUGGCUUUAGUGGCGGACUGGUGAGUAACACGUAAGCAAUCUACCUAUUAGAGGGGAAUAACAAUGAGAAAUCAUUGCUAAUACCGCAUAAGCUUGUAGUACCGCAUGGUACAGCAAGAAAAGGAGCAAUCCGCUAAUAGAUGAGCUUGCGGCUGAUUAGCUAGUUGGUGUGGUAACGGCAUACCAAGGCAACGAUCAGUAGCCGGGCUGAGAGGCUCUUCGGCCACAUUGGGACUGAGAUACGGCCCAGACUCCUACGGGAGGCAGCAGUCGGGAAUUUUGCGCAAUGGAGGAAACUCUGACGCAGUGACGCCGCGUAUAGGAAGAAGGUUUUCGGAUUGUAAACUAUUUUAGUCAGGGAAGAAAAAUGACAGUACCUGAAGAAUAAGCUCCGGCUAACUACGUGCCAGCAGCCGCGGUAAUACGUAGGGAGCAAGCGUUAUCCGGAUUUAUUGGGUGUAAAGGGUGCGUAGACGGGAAGACAAGUUGGUUGUGAAAGCCCUCGGCUCAACUGAGGAACUGCAACCAAAACUAUCAUUCUUGAGUGCGGGAGAGGAAAGUGGAAUUCCUAGUGUAGCGGUGAAAUGCGUGGAUAUU